UAUCUGGACAUUUUUACGACGUAUGUACCUCUACUAUUCUACCUCUGUUAUUCUGGAUUUAUUUAAAGGAGCAAAAAGUACAAACUCAUGAAUGUGUACAGUUUCUCCUAUAUUUCGAAUAUAAAACUGUAAACUUUAUAGAGCAUGUUUUGCAUUAAGGAUUAUUUAAAUUUAACUUGAGUGUUAAAUGUUGAUACUUUAUCUGUGCCUGUUAAGUAAAAUAGUUGUGUAAAUAUAAAGUAAUCAAUGCAUGUAUCUGGACCGACAAUUACAUUUGAUAAAAUGUACUGCUGGUUAAUGAAUAUAGUAGUGUAUGUGUGAAGACAAACGUUCUGCAGAAUAAAUGGAUACAUGUUUCUAACACCCUGAGAAUCUAGCUGAUACAUACACUAUGGAGACUGCAUCUAAAGAUGGCGACACUGUGCACUUCAGAUGCUCAGAGUCCGUGAUCACGUGUCAGAUUUGUAUGGACAUAUUUGAAAGUCCAAGAAUUUUACCGUGUCAACAUACCUUCUGUAAGAAAUGUGUCAUUUCGCUUUUAAACAAACACUGUUUAGAUCAUGAAGGAAACACGAAGAAAUCAUCUUUCCCGUGUCCAAACUGUAGAAGAGAGUGUAAAAUACAUCAUCGAAAAGGAAAACACAGCAUAGAAGAACACUUGAAGUGUUUCCCAGAAAGUUUAUUGCUUAAAACAUUUUUAGACUCGGUUGAUGAACAUUCUAGCAGCGAAAAGGAUAAACAGUGGAGUAAAUUAGACAAUGAAAAUGAUCUUCCCGAAUCGGUUAGUAACGAAAAUGAUGGAUAUGGUGAUAGAAUGUAUAUUUCGCGGCGGGCUGCACGGGUAAUAGAGGAACGUCUAUGGUUUUACUAUUUGUUCAUAAGCACGUUGUCCAGGUUUCUAUUUCAGCCGCAGGUUUAUUUUUGGGGUACACUUAAUACUAUAAGCAGAUCAGAAUUAGUAAAGCUCAUACAAGAGUUACAAUCCGGAUUUGCAUCAGUAUCAUGUAAAUGAAUAUUUUGAUUCCUCUGACAUUGAUACAACUCUUACAAAUAUCCAAAAACAAGAAAGAAGUUUCAAUACAGUUAUUGGAAUGUGGCUAGUGCAGGCUGUAAAUGUAGACACACAGCGAACGUUCAGACAUGCACAGACACAAACUGAAAACAAAUUGAGCAAAUAUUUUAGACGUUGUAGACUUAUGAAAUAUCAGUUGCAGACAUUUAUAUCUUUUAUUCUGAUAAAGAAUACAUCUGUU
rnacentral:lncRNA from 1 species